rnacentral:rRNA from 1 species
AUACGGAGGGUGCUAGCGUUAUUCGGAAUUACUGGGCGUAAAGCGUACGUAGGCGGUUGGUUAAGUUAGAUGUGAAAGCCCCGGGCUUAACCUGGGAACUGCAUUUAAAACUGGCGAACUAGAGUUGAGUAGAGGGGAGUGGAAUUUCAGGUGUAGCGGUGAAAUGCGUAGAGAUCUGAAGGAACACCAGUGGCGAAGGCGACUCCCUGGACUCGAACUGACGCUGAGGUACGAAAGCGUGGGUAGCAAACGGGAUUAGAAACCCUGGUAGUCC